rnacentral:lncRNA from 10 species
CUGCACUGUGCACCGUUUUAAACAUAAAUGUGAUGAUUACCACCCAGGAAGCUCGCCUUGGGGCAGGCAGGGUGCCCUGUCCCUCUGCCCGUGGAGCUCCAGGCAGCAGGCAUGGGCAGUACCGCUGCUCCAUGUGCACACAAGGCCCAGACUCCACACAGGAAAACUGCCAUCUGAAAGGAGAAUUGGAACGCACAGCCCAUCUGACUCUUGUCUUACUGAGACGUUAAACAGGAACACUCCCCAUAUCUGUAUGCACAGAAGACAAUACCGCCAGCUGUGUGAGGACCAAUCUUUCUCUCUCUUUUGGUGCACAAUUUUCCUGCACAAUAACCACUGACUUGUCUUUCCUUUCUGAAGACAAUUGUCCACCCGAGUGUCAGAUGAAGGGUGAAUUAUCUCCGAGAUACAGCGCGGGAGCACGACCAUGUUUCCAGUGCUGAGGCUUCCUCUGCAGCUCUCUGAACCUGUGUCGGUGCGUCUGCAGGCAGACGCCCCAGUCUGUGCUCGGGAGGCAGCCCUUGAAAGGGAGCCAGGAGGCCCAGACACACACAGGCACCUGUGCCCAAAUCCGGGCGAUGAUCCAGAAAUUAAGCGCCCAGGUCUGUCUCUAAUUGCACGUUUCAGCAGCGCCGCCCACCUAAUACAUCACUCUCUGAUGUGAAGGGAGGGGGAAAUUGCAGCCAGCCAGUCUGGUCUUUCCUCUGGAAAGGUUGGGAGAUGUCAGAGGAGUGGCAGCAGCAAGUCGUCUCACGUGAACCCGGAGGUGCUCUGUGGUUCCCCAAGGGGCGGAGCCUGCGCUGCUGGGGUCUGGGAUGGAGGGGCUUUGCACUGGACCACCUGAGCUAUCCAGGGUGUGGGGCUCCAUAGAGGCCCAGAUAGGGGCUCAGGGACCUCCAGCCAGGGCAGAAGAGCUCAGGGGUGGUUUCCUGGCUCUCUGCAGUGAGUAGGGUGUUAGAAGGCACCAAAACAAGGCCCCUCCCCCUUGGAUCUGCAGGACAUGGGCUGGUCGUAUGUCAGCUGUUGCUGCCACAGAAGUCAGGCUUCCAGGGGUGGAGUGAGCCCUGGGGUGACCUGGUGAUUCUGCAGCCACUGUGACAAGGCAUGGAGUGUCUUACGGGUCCCCUGCGGUCCAGUGUUAGAGCACCAAGUUACGUAACCCAUGUGACCCUGGGCUUCCCAACACGGCGCAGGCUUUCCCGUAGACCCUCCUUCACGCUGGAGCCCCUUUGACAGGAAGGGUGAGAUCAAAGGAAUCCUUCUCUCCAUGAGGAAUGCCGGCGCUUGCAGCAGCUGCUCUGCGAGGGCCCGCAUGUUUGCAGACCCGGACCUCAGGAAGGGAAUGCAGGUGACCACAGCAGCGCAUUCGGGAAGGUUCGGGGCCAGCUGGCGGCCACAUGAGGAGCCUGCCCUCCCAGGAGCAACGGUCCAUCUGCCUGUCAGAAAGAAGACCCAGACACAGUCCCGGAUGCAACCAUGACUCUCAGCACCAAGGCAUCCCCCCUUCAGCGUUCAGAAUGUGAGUCCAUGCUUUUCAGACACUGACAUCUGAGUCUGUCCAUCAGCAGCAAAGCAGCCUCCUUAAGUAGCUCCCACAGGACCCGGACACACACACACACACACACACACACACACACAUACACACACACACACACACGCGCGCAUCCAACCCCAUCAGCAGCAAAACAGCCUCCUUAAAUAGCUCCCGCAGGACCCAGACACACACACACACACACACACACACACACGUGUCCAACCCCGUGGCAGUGAUUUAGAAGCCAAACCCCAGGUACCUCUCAGUCAAAUAUUUCAGGAGUGCCGGCAACCAAGUAAUCACCCUAGAUUCAAAGUGAGGAGAGAAACUGCAGCUUCCAACCUCUUUAAAAUUGCCAGAGGAUGUCAAAGGCAUGGAGUGGGGUGGGCGGUCUCAGUUCUGUUACCAACGCUGUGAGUGACCCGUGUCCUUCAUGGGGAGCUGAGCCUGGGACUGCUGUGCAUGCAGGGUGGGAAAUCCAGACUGAUGGCCUGAGUCCUCCAGCAGCGCGUGGGGUGCAGAGCCCCAGGGGUCAAGGGCAGGGCUUCGGGAUUAUUGAUCUUCGAGGACAGAUCCAAGGCUGGGUCACCCUCUCAGGGGGUGGCUGUCCUGGGUUUACCUGCAGUGCCUGGGGGUCUGACAGCCCUAAAACAAGCCCCCUCUACCUCUUAGAUCUGGGCUCAGGGCACCUUUCAGUACUGGGGCUGUUGCUGCCAUGGGCAUCUGGGCUCCUGGGUUAAAAACGGAAUGGGCAGUUUUUCAAAUUUUGAUAAGUGCUGUCGGUUUGAUGACAUAUCACAAUGGCCACAGGUAAUGGAAUCCACAUAGGGGCUUCACUUCUCAUCAUUCCAGCACCCCCCACCGUGUGUGGAAAUGCACCUUCUCUUCUCCUGGGAGACGUUCCUCCCAUCCAACUGUCUGGUUCCAGGAAGAUACUGUGCUCAUACAUGACUCCGCCCCCAUAGCCACCACUGAUUGGUCUAUGGGUGGUCACCUCACCCCAGAUUGGCCUUUCUGGGACUUUUCAAACUGGAACUGACAUGAAGCCAAGAGGAGGAAGAGACCGCAUGUUUUCUGGCAUAUGGAGAAGGCUGAUCUACCAUGACAAAGAGUUAAGACAAUCUCAUUAGAAGGCAGAGGAGGUGGGGCUGGACCACCCAGGGCCGGCUGCUCUGACGCUCACCUGCACAUCUGACCUGCUCUUUGGCUGCACAACCUGAGUCCAAGAGCAGACCCACAGGGCUCCCUGCAGAGAGUUCAAAGCAGAGGCUAUUUACAGAGGUCCAAGUAGGGGUGGGGAACCUGCAUCCCACGAACUGGAUAAGCAGGGAAACUGUUAUCCACCACAAGCCCCAGGGCACAGGUGUGGGGCUUUGUUUCUGGAAUGCAGGGAGGGUUGUAACUCUGGGAGAGGGGUCACCUGGCAGGAUCUGAGAUCUUAUUUGGGGAAAAACUUCACUGCUAAACAUCAGUCAGGCAGGGGCAAUACCUGCUCCAACUUCUGUCUUCUCCCAUCUUAGGCUUCUCCUGGGGACUCUCAUCAGUCAAAUCCAACAGAAUCCAGAGGGCAGGGAGCCCCACUGGUGCCAUUUAUAGAGGUCAGCCUGUGGGCACAGUGAGGUCAGAGAAGGGCACGGAAUCGAUGCAGAGGGGCAGUCAAAGAGUAACUUGUGCAAAACAACCCUUCUUGGAUUCCUUGAGUCAGUAAAUGUUCCCAUUGGUCUUAGCAUUUCUGAGUUGCAUUUCUCUUAUUUGACUCCAAAACUCCUGUUCUGUAAGUAACUCCCCAAAGACAGUAAGUUUCUCAAACCAGUUACUAAAUCAAGUAUAGGGGCUGGUGAAGCUAAGUGAUGCUUGUUGCAUGGCUAGAUGAGAAGGCGAGAAAGCACUGUGGAGGCUCCAUCAAUGUUAGAUAGAUGCUGCCCUGGUUUCAUCAUCUGCUACCUACCCUUAGGCAGUUUCUUUGUUAAAGCAUCUUAUGAUCUUGCCCAAGAUUACCUGUGAUAGAGUAUGAAGGCCCUUGGUGGCACAACCCCUCUUUUCAUGGUCUUUUAUAAAACCAGCUGCCCAGCAGUGCCUGAGACUGAGCAGACAUUCAAUUCAUGUUGUUUGAAUGAAGGGACAGACGAGUUGAUGAUGGAUAGAUGAUGAAUGGAUGGAUGGAUGGACGGAUGGGUAAGUAAAUGGAUAGAAGAGGAAAUGGAUAAAUAAGUAAAUGAGUAGAUGGGUGGAUGGGUG